CAAAGGCUUGGUCCUGACUUUCUUAUCUGCUAUAGUUAUAUUUACACAUGCAAGUAUCUGCCCCCCAGUGAGAAUGCCCACGCUUCGCUUUACGGGAAGAAGGAGCCGGUAUCAGGCACACUUUUAUUAGUAGCCCACAACACCUUGCUAAGGCCACACCCUCAAGGGUAAUCAGCAGUGAUAAACAUUAAGCAAUGAGCGAAAACUUGACUUAAUAAUGACUAAUAGGGCCGGUAAAAUUCGUGCCAGCAACCGCGGUUAUACGAAAGGCCCAAGUUGAUAAAUUGCGGCGUAAAGCGUGGUUAAGGUACACCUCAAAGUAAAGAUGAAUGACCUCCUAGCUGUUUAAAGUGUCUGAGAAUGUUAAAUUCAACUACGAAAGUGACUUUAUUACCCUGAUUCCACGAAAACUAGGACCCAAACUGGGAUUAGAUACCCCACUAUGCCUAGCCUUAAACAAUGAUAUUUUUUUACAUAAAUAUCCGCCCGGGAACUACGAACACUAGUUUGAAACCCAAAGGACCUGGCGGUGCUUAAUAUCCCUCUAGAGGAGCCUGUUCUAUAACCGAUAACCCCCGUUCAACCUCACCCUUUCUUGCAAAUUCUGCCUAUAUACCGCCGUCGCAAGCUCACCCUGUGAAGGAAGAGUAGUAAGCGAAAUUGGUAAAGCCCAAAACGUCAGGUCGAGGUAUAGUAUAUGAAAGGGGAAGAAAUGGGCUACAUUAACUAAUGAUAGUUUACACGGAGAGUGUGUUGAAACACACGCUGUAAAGGUGGAUUUAGUAGUAAGUGGAAAAUAGAGUGUUCCACUGAAUAUGGCUCUUAAGCGCGCACACACCGCCCGUCACUCUCUCCGAACAGCCAUAUUUUUAUAGCUUAUUUCCCACUGCUAACAAGGGGGGGGAAGUCGUAACAUGGUAAGUGUACCGGAAGGUGUACUUGGGUUA
rnacentral:ncRNA from 1 species